rnacentral:rRNA from 1 species
CCACGCAGUAAACGAUGAAUACUAGAUCUAUGCAAUAUACCGUAUGGGUCUAAGCGAAACCGAUAAGUAAUCCACCUGGGGAGUACGCCGGCAACGGUGAAACUCAAAGGAAUUGACGGGGGCCCGCACAAGCGGAGGAACAUGUGGUUUAAUUCGAUGAUACGCGAGGAACCUUACCCGGGAUUGAAAUGUAUAUGGAGGUAUUGGAAACAGUACUGUUUUUCGUAAGAAGACAUAUAUGUAGGUGCUGCAUGGUUGU